ACACAGUGGGAAUAGCUCAGUUGGCAGAGCAUGAGACUCUUAAUCUCAGGGUUGUGGGUUCGAGCCCCAUGUUGGGUG